rnacentral:rRNA from 1 species
AGUGAACGCUGGCGGUAGGCCUAACACAUGCAAGUCGAACGGCAGCACAGUAAGAGCUUGCUCUUACGGGUGUCGAGUGGCGGACGGGUGAGUAAUACAUCGGAAUCUACUUUUUCGUGGGGGAUAACGUAGGGAAACUUACGCUAAUACCGCAUACGACCUACGGGUGAAAGCAGGGGAUCUUCGGACCUUGCGCUAUUGAAUGAGCCUAUGUCGGAUUAGCUAGUUGGCGGGGUAAAGGCCCACCAAGGCGACGAUCCGUAGCUGGUAUGAGAGGAAGAUCAGACACACUGGAACUGAGACACGGUCCAGACUCCUACGGGAGGAAGCAGUGGGGAAUAUUGGACAAUGGGGGCAAGCCUGAUCCAGCCAUACCGCGUGGGUGAAGAAGGACUACGGGUUGUAAAGCCCUUUUGUUGGGAAAGAAAAGCAGCAGGUUAAUACCCCGCUGUUCUGACGGUACCCAAAGAAUAAGCACCGGCUAACUUCGUG